rnacentral:rRNA from 1 species
UACAGAGGUCCCAAGCGUUGUCCGGAAUUAUUGGGCGUAAAGAGCUCGUAGGCGGUGUGUCGCGUCGGCCGUGAAAACCUGCAGCUUAACUGUGGGCUUGCGGUCGAUACGGGCAUCACUGGAGUUCGGCAGGGGAGACUGGAAUUCCUGGUGUAGCGGUGAAAUGCGCAGUUAUCAGGAGGAACACCGGUGGCGAAGGCGGUUCUCUGGGCCUGCACUGACGCUGAGGAGCGAAAGCGUGGGGAGCGAACAGG